rnacentral:lncRNA from 1 species
CCUUGAAGUUCCAAAUCCUUUCUCUUUGCAUCUUCUUCCUGUUUAUUUUUGUGGUCCUUUAAUUCCUUUAGAAUUUCUUUCUGCUCAGCCAGGAUCUUCUUUUGUUCUUGCUGCUGUUCUUCUAUUUUCUCCAAAAGUUCUGCUUGCUUCUUUUCUAUCUGAUCUACUUGUGUCUUCUUCUCAGUAUCUCCUUCUUCUUUAUUUUCUUUUUCUUCUUUCUUAAUUGCAUCAGGGUGUAGAGUAUCUCCUAGACUUUUAUCAUCUUUAACUUCCAAAGUUUUUCUUAGACUAUCAUCUG